GUGUCAGCCGCCGCGGUAAUACCAACCCCGCGAGUGGUCGGGACGUUUAUUGGGCCUAAAGCGUCCGUAGCCGGCCCGGUAAGUCCCUCCUUAAAGCCCACGGCUCAACCGUGGGAGCGGAGGGAUACUGCCGGGCUAGGGGGCGGGAGAGGCCGGGGGUACUCCUGGGGUAGGGGCGAAAUCCUAUAAUCCCAGGAGGACCACCAGUGGCGAAGGCGCCCGGCUAGCACGCGCCCGACGGUGAGGGACGAAAGCUGGGGGAGCAAAGGGGAUUAGAUACCCCCGUAGUCC
rnacentral:rRNA from 1 species